CUCAAACUUGACUCCAUAAGAGAGUGUCAGGUUUGGAGAGAAGAAAUGAGUUUAGUGCUAUGUGGUUUGUCACUCAAAUCUUUCACCAGCCCACCUCAUGAACUCAUGUGUAGUUACUAGGGAAAAAAGUAAUCUGUCAUUUAAAUCUACAACGGUGGUUUUACCAAAAAUUUGGUAGAAUUGAGAUGAAGGGUAAAAGUAGCAUUAUCGAAGCAUAAAAUAAAAGAUAAAUAAUUAUUAGCUUCUGCCCUCAACGUACCAAAUGUCUAGGAUGCUGAGGAGGGGAGGGCUGUGAAAGGGCGUGUGUGGAGUUUAAGAGUUGGCUGCACCAUAUGAGAGAGGUAGCAUCGCAGAUUGGGAGGAGCAGCAGCGGGGCCCAGGGGCGGAGAGCGCAUGCGCAAAGCCACAAUGGCUCUUCCCUGCACCAGUAGGGACGGUUAGCCGUCAGAGCAAGUGGUAACACUGUGAUGCAAGUGCCGCUGGGAAGAGGCUGAACUGCUCCUGGCUCUUCUGAGAGAUCUAGUGCAGAAACCCGGAAACACUUGGGCGCUAACUCUACCGUAUAUACUUAGGAAGAUAAUAAGUAAACAUGGAUUAAAAAUAGGAUUCUUCCCUUUAUGGAGCUUGCAGCUGCACAUGGAGAUCCUCGCCAGCCCAUCUAAUUCCUACCGCCAAUGGGAAUUGAAUGCUCCAAGUUUGGAACACAAGUCAACUCACAGAGCUCGAGUGCAACUGUAUUCUUCACUUGAUGGGUUUUUAAUAUUUGUCAACUAUUCUAAUUUUGGUGACUUGUGGAUGGAGAAGAGGAUAUAGCAUCCACUCAGAUUCCUAGAAUCUAGCAGUUACACAUCCUGUGUAGUUCUGCUAGAGUCAAAGAAUUAUCUACAUCUUUCCCUGCCUGAUCUUCUGAAACUCUUUACUGAUAGAACUUAUGAACAAAAAAACAAAUAAAACUAUCAGCAAAUCUUAAUACUCCUACA
rnacentral:lncRNA from 1 species